CAGGUGGACUUCAUCCGGACUCCUACGGGAGCCAAACUUCAUCCCCGACUUCAACUGCAAGAAGACUCCGUCUGGACUCCUAUGGGAGCCAGAUCUCAUCUCCGACUCCGGCUACGGGAAGACUCCACCCGGACUCCUACGAGAGCCGGGCUUCAUCCCCGACUUCAACCACUGGUAAACUUCAUCCAGACUCCUACGGGAGCCAGACUUCACCCCUGACUUUAAUUGC
rnacentral:lncRNA from 1 species